rnacentral:rRNA from 1 species
GAACGCUGGCGGCAGGCCUAACACAUGCAAGUCGAACGGUAGCACAGAGAGCUUGCUCUCGGGUGACGAGUGGCGGACGGGUGAGUAAUGUCUGGGAAACUGCCUGAUGGAGGGGGAUAACUACUGGAAACGGUAGCUAAUACCGCAUAACGUCGCAAGACCAAAGAGGGGGACCUUCGGGCCUCUUGCCAUCAGAUGUGCCCAGAUGGGAUUAGCUAGUAGGUGGGGGUAAUGGCUCACCUAGGCGACGAUCCCUAGCUGGUCUGAGAGGAUGACCAGCCACACUGGAACUGAGACACGGUCCAGACUCCUACGGGAGGCAGCAGUGGGGAAUAUUGCACAAUGGGCGCAAGCCUGAUGCAGCCAUGCCGCGUGUAUGAAGAAGGCCUUCGGGUUGUAAAGUACUUUCAGCGGGGAGGAAGGUGUUGUGGUUAAUAACCGCAGCAAUUGACGUUACCCGCAGAAGAAGCACCGGCUAACUCCGUGCCAGCCGCGGC